rnacentral:rRNA from 1 species
UACAGAGGGUGCAAGCGUUGUUCGGAAUUAUUGGGCGUAAAGCGCGUGUAGGCGGCUCAGCCAGUCAGGUGUGAAAGCCCUCGCUUAACCGAGGAAGUGCGCCUGAAACUACUGAGCUUGAGUACCGGAGAGGGCGGUGGAAUUCCCGGUGUAGAGGUGAAAUUCGUAGAUAUCGGGAGGAACACCAGCGGCGAAGGCGACCGCCUGGACGGCUACUGACGCUGAGACGCGAAAGCGUGGGGAGCAAACAGG